GAGCCACCGUACCUGGCCCACUUUAAAAUUUUAAUCUAUGACAUAACUGUUUUGCACAUACCCAGGAAAAAGGACCAAAAAAUGACAUAAGAAUAUUUUAGAAGGUUUCUCUUGAACUUUUCAGUACAUCUUGGUAGAGUGGAGGAUAUGAUGAUAAAGCCUUUGGCACUUGGGUCAACAAUAUAAUUUAUUCAGUACUUCAGCAAAUAUUUUAAAUAUAUCUAUUUAGCAUGCAGUCCAAGGGGAUAUAGUGUGGAACAAGACAGACACAGUCCUUGGCCUCCUGGAUUUACAGUUUAUAAUUGCUGGAUUACAGAGAUUAGAAUAGUAACAAAAUGAUAGAAAACUUAAGUGUAAAAGAUAAAAGUGGAACAGGAGCCAUAUGAGUUUGAGUAUGAGGACAAAUAGCAUCUACCUCCUUAAAAGGUCUCCAGAAGUUGGUUACUUCCAUUCUAAUAUAGGCCUCACCCUCCCCGGGCAACUCAGUCCACUAACAGCUAUAUUUUGCCAAAGCAUAAGACCUUUAAACCAAUGUUCCCUUCAGAGUCUAGACAGCCCUCUGCAGGUUGGAGAUUUCUGCUCGGCUUGCACUAACAAAGGCCAACCCAUUUUAGGCAACUCUCAACUCUUUCCUCUGUGUUAGCACAGUCACCUGGAAUGUGUUCCAGCCAGAACUGUAACUAGUUAAUCUCACUUUGUGUCUUAGCCUUGUCAUCUUCCACUGAAGUGUCAGUCCCUUUAGGACUAUGUCCUUUCCAGUGUAGUUAGUCCAGCAAGACUUCAUGCCUGCAACCCCUUCUCAGGCAUUCUCCAGAUUAACAGGGAUGCUCAUCAUAGCUAAGGAUUCUAGAGUUUCAAAACCAAGCUCAUUGGAGUUCAAUGCAGUCUUGUAAUUAGUCAUAUGUAAGUUUACUGCUGCUGGGCGUGAAGCUGAGUUCAAGAUGUGAGGUGCCAGAUGCUGAGGCAAAAUGAUUAUAUCUAGAUGGGGGAGAAGACCUUGAGAAAAUUUUCUGCAUGGGACCAGACACUCAUGAAACAAUUUUUCCUUCUCAGGGAAAGCAGAUGGGAUGCCCAGAGAUGAUAAUGACCUGCAGUGCUUAAGUGAUGUAAACAUGGUACUUUGUGCCCCUUCCCAGAGAUGGGAACAUGAGAAACUGUGGAAAGUCUAUUCAUCUCCUGCUAAAAGCUCUUACAUUUUAUAAUCAUGAUUAUUUGCUUUAUAUAUGUUUCCUUCAGUAGCCCAUGUAAGAUCAGAGAAAAUUACAAGUAGAUACACAGUUAGAAUUAUAACUUCUUGCCUGAGUGAAACAGCUAAAGGGAUGGGGAUACUCUCCUCUUCCUACCAAUACUUCCCCCUCUGCUCUGCCUCCAUAAGACCAUCUGGUCACACAUAUGGAUACUUAAUUGUCAAGAUCAAGCACCAUCCCUCUAUUGCUCACCCAAGAAACCCAUUACUGAGGGAGUGUCACGGCCUCUCAAACCCAGGAACAUUUAGGUGGUUGUAGAAUCUCACCUUUCAGGCAGAAGCAUAGGAAAUAUGCAGGCAAAACAACUAGGCCCUACAUUUGGUAAGAAAUAAAGAGUACAGUCUUUGACAAAUUUGAUCACUUAUAUAAUUUCUGUUUCAUUGGAAGCAAAACAACCAACAUAAAAUCGUGGCCAAAGAAAGCAUAUAUUCUGGGCACGAUGGCUCACGCCUGUAAUCCCAUGACUUUGGGCAGAUCAAGUGAGGUCAGGAGUUGGAGACCAGCCUGCCAACAUAGCAAAACCUUGCCUCUACUAAAAAUAUGCAAGUUAACAGGGUGUGGUGGUCUGCACCUGUAGUCCCAGCUACUGGGGACACUGAGGCAGAAGGAUUGCUUAAACCUGGGAGGUGGAGGCUGCAGUGAGCUGAGAUCGCACCAGUGGACCCCAGCCUGGGUGGUAGAGUGAGACUCCAUCU